AAAUCUGUUUCCGUAAGCUAUGGUUUCGGGGUUAAAUCAUCUUCCCGCUGAUGUUUGUAUAUUGAAUGUUUCAAUACAAGUAUUCUAAAAGCAUCUUUAUCACAAAAACCUAAAAUAGGUUUCUUAAUUUUUUUUUCUCUGAUUAAAAAAAAAAAAAAAAAAAACAAUCGUAAGCUGGUACGUGUCAGUGAAAGUCUGUGAACAGUACAAAAAACACUGCAAAGUCAUUUUUUAUUUGGUAGCUUUUGUAACCGGUUUUUAGUGCUUGUGUAAGCCCUUCACAUUAAGAAACACAGUAAACACCUGCGAUAAUGGUGCUCUAAAGUGAAAAGGUAGUUUAGAAAUAGAAUCUGAGCAAAAAGAAGGUAAUUUUGAAAUCUGAGAAGCUUCAUUAACUUCUCUAAUCUACGACCCGUUACAGAAAUAAAAGAAAAAGUACUGACUUAACUUCUCUAAUCUACGACCCGUUACAGAAAUAAAAGAAAAAGUACUGACAUGGGACAGCUGCGAAAAGAUCAUGACAACCAUUAAUAGGAUUAAUAGUUUGGAAAAUAUAAAUAGAACCUACCCAAAAAAAGAAAGUCAG
rnacentral:lncRNA from 1 species